GGGGCUAUAGCUCAGACGGUAGAGCAUCUGCUUUGCACGCAGAGGGUCAGCGGUUCGAUUCCGCUUAGCUCCA
rnacentral:tRNA from 1 species